UACGGAGGGUGCAAGCGUUAAUCGGAAUUACUGGGCGUAAAGCGCACGCAGGUGGCUGAGAAAGUCGAUUGUGAAAGCCCUGGGCUUAACCUGGGAAUUGCAGUCGAAACUACUCGGCUAGAGUAUGGGAGAGGGUAGUGGAAUUCCCGGUGUAGCGGUGAAAUGCGUAGAUAUCGGGAGGAACAUCAGUGGCGAAGGCGGCCAUCUGGACGGAUACUGACGCUGAGACGCGAAAGCAUGGGGAGCAAACAGG
rnacentral:rRNA from 1 species